GCAAGUCGAACGGUAACAGAAGAUAGCUUGCUAUUUUGCUGACGAGUGGCGGACGGGUGAGUAAUGCUUGGGAAUAUGCCAAAACGUGGGGGACAACAGUUGGAAACGACUGCUAAUACCGCAUAAUAUCUUCGGAUCAAAGCAGGGGACUUUCGGGCCUUGCGCGUUUUGAUUAGCCCAAGUGGGAUUAGCUAGUUGGUAAGGUAAUGGCUUACCAAGGCGACGAUCCCUAGCUGGUCUUAGAGGAUGACC
rnacentral:rRNA from 1 species